rnacentral:rRNA from 1 species
AGAGGUUACUGCUAUCGGUGUUCGCCUAAGCCAUGCGAGUCAUAUGUUCUUCGUGAACAUGGCGUACUGCUCAGUAACACGUGGAUAACCUGCCCUUGGGUCCGGCAUAACCCCGGGAAACUGGGGAUAAUUCCGGAUAACGCACAUAUGCUGGAAUGCUUUAUGCGUCAAAUGGAUUCGUCCGCCCAAGGAUGGGUCUGCGGCCUAUCAGGUAGUAGUGGGUGUAAUGUACCUACUAGCCUACGACGGGUACGGGUUGUGAGAGCAAGAGCCCGGAGAUGGAUUCUGAGACAUGAAUCCAGGCCCUACGGGGCGCAGCAGGCGCGAAAACUUUACAAUGCGGGAAACCGUGAUAAGGGGACACUGAGUGCCAGCAUCAUAUGCUGGCUGUCCGGGUGUGUAAAAUACACCUGUUAGCAAGGGCCGGGCAAGACCGGUGCCAGCCGCCGCGGUAACACCGGCGGCCCGAGUGGUGAUCGUGAUUAUUGGGUCUAAAGGGUCCGUAGCCGGUUUGGUCAGUCCUCCGGGAAAUCUGACGGCUUAACCGUUAGGCUUUCGGGGGAUACUGCCAGACUUGGAACCGGGAGAGGUAAGAGGUACUACAGGGGUAGGAGUGAAAUCUUGUAAUCCCCUGUGGGACCACCUGUGGCGAAAGCGUCUUACCAGAACGGGUUCGACGGUGAGGGACGAAAGCUGGGGGGCACGAACCGGAUUAGAUACCCGGGUAGUCCCAGCCGUAACGAUGCUCGCUAGGUGUCAGGCAUGGCGCGACCGUGUCUGGUGCCGCAGGGAAGCCGUGCAAGCGAGCCACCUGGGAAGUACCGUCCGCCAGGCUGAAACUUA